CCUACGGGUGGCAGCAGUGAGGAAUAUUGGUCAAUGGGCGCUAGCCUGAACCAGCCAAGUCGCGUGAAGGAUGAAUGCCCUAUGGAUUGUAAACUUCUUUUGUAUGGGAAUAAAAUGAGGUAUGUAUACUGCUUUGCGUGUACCUUAUGAAUAAGGAUCGGCUAACUCCGUGCCAGCAGCCGCGGUAAUACGGAGGAUCCGAGCGUUAUCCGGAUUUAUUGGGUUUAAAGGGAGCGUAGGCGGGUUGUUAAGUCAGUUGUGAAAGUUUGCGGCUCAACCGUAAAAUUGCAGUUGAUACUGGCAGACUUGAGUACAGUAGAGGUAGGCGGAAUUCGGGGUGUAGCGGUGAAAUGCUUAGAUAUCACGAAGAACUCCGAUUGCGAAGGCAGCCUGCUGGACUGGAACUGACGCUGAGGCUCGAAAGUGUGGGUAUCAAACAGGAUUAGAUACCCUUGUAGUC
rnacentral:rRNA from 1 species